rnacentral:rRNA from 1 species
UGUUUUUUGAUUUUUUUUUUGUAAAAAGUAAGGCUGCUCACUGAAAGUUGACUUUUUAAAGCGCCGCGGUAUUUUGACCGUGCAAAGGUAGCAUAAUCAAUCGUUUUUUAAUUGGAAACUGGAAUGAAGGGGCUCAUGAAACUUAACCUGUCUCUUUUGUAUAAAAUUGAAUUUAACUUUUUUGUUAAAAGGCAAAAAUUUAUUUGAAAGACGAUAAGACCCUGUAGAUUUUUAUAAAAGAUCUCAUUUGUUUUUUAGAUUAUAAAUGAUGGAUUUUAUUUGGCUGGGGCGGCAGGAAAAGAAAAGCAGCUUUUCUUAGGAUACUAAAAUACUAAUAUGUAAUCAAGAGAGCCAUAAAAUUGUUGAUAACAAGAAUAAGAUACCUCAGGGAUAACAGCAUAAUUUUUUUUGAGAGUUCAUAUCGACAAAAAAGAYUGUGACCUCGAUGUUGGAUUAAAAGUAACUUUGGGAGCAGGAUUUCAAAGAUUGGGUCUGUUCGA